UACGUAGGGAGCAAGCGUUGUUCGGAAUGACUGGGCGUAAAGGGAGCGUAGACGGUAUGGCAAGUCUGAUGUGAAAACCCGGGGCUCAACCCCGGGACUGCAUUGGAAACUGCCGAACUAGAGUGUCGGAGAGGCAAGUGGAAUUCCUAGUGUAGCGGUGAAAUGCGUAGAUAUUAGGAGGAACACCAGUGGCGAAGGCGGCUUGCUGGACGAUGACUGACGUUGAGGCUCGAAAGCGUGGGGAGCAAACAGG
rnacentral:rRNA from 1 species